rnacentral:rRNA from 1 species
AACGUAGGUGGCGAGCGUUAUCCGGAAUUACUGGGCGUAAAGGCGUGAUGCAGGCGGGCUAGGCAAGUGGUGUAUGAAAGCUCCCGGCUCAACCGGGAAGGGUUAUGCCAGACUGCUAGUCUUGAGUGCGAGAGAGGAGCGUGGAAUUCCGGGUGUAGUGGUGAAAUGACGUAGAGAGUCCGGAGGAACCCCGAGAGGCGAAGGCGGCGCUCUGGCUCGCAACUGACGCUCAGACACGGACAGCAUGGGGAGCGAACGGG